GUCAUCCUCAUGGAACAGGAGCGAAGAUGCUGUGUGGUGACCUGGGAAAGGGUCCAGAGACUGGACCUAGAGUGUUUGUAGCCUCUGGUUGACCAUACUUCCCUGCAAAAAGCCAUUGUUUUGCACCAAACAAAUGGAGGUGAGGAGAUGGAACAGAAGCUUCCCUUUCUGGUUCACAGGUCAAUAGAAGUUAGCAGCUGAUAUGAGAGUCACUCUAUAGCAAUCUGGAAGUUAGUCUUGGGAUCCAAGUAACAUAUCUACCUCAUUUCUUCUCUUUGCUGAACUUGGGAAGAACUGAAGAAAGCAUCGACACCCUCAUCACUAUGGAAAUCAAUAUUUAUAACUAGGGAGGUCUUAGAAGGAAAGUUCAUCUCGAUCAAGUUGGUCAUAGAAGCAUGAAGAUAUUUUGAUAUUAUUGCUAAUAGCAAUGGAUCAGGAGAUAGAAACUGACUUGGGUGGGUUGCAAAAGUGAGAAAAGAUUCCAGGUACUUUCCAGAGCCCAGCAACGAGCACAGCUGAUUGCCCAGUGCACACGGCACUGACUAGGUCUCUGCAGAUGCCUCCUCUACCAGUGGUUUGUGUAGCAAAGAGAGAGUGUAGUGCUUAGCAAACAUCUCCACAAAGAUCGCCAAGAGUUUCUGGUGCUGCAACUUGCCUUUUGUGUUGACAGCAAUGACAGGGACUCAACUGCUCCCAACUGCAGUUCUUGUUCAUUCAAAGACAGCCACAGUAUUCAGGACUUUACAGUUUUCAAUAGCAAUGUGACUCAGCGAGGUAGCCAGCAUUGUGAUGCUUACGGAACAGUUUGCUUGAGUCUCUCACUCCUGAGAAGCAUUGGUUUUCACUUGCUGGUACUUGAUUAUCUUUCCCCAAAGUGUCCUUGGUAGAGAACUGAAGAUUCCUUCCAUGUUCCAAAAUAAUGUUUGCUGCAUAUCCCCUUCUCUUUGAGAAAGGAGUGUCUGAAAGGUCUCCUCAACUUCUGUCAGGGGUAGAAGGAAGAGCAUAACAAUUCUGUCUGUGUUUUCUCUUGCUUGGAGAGAGUGUCCAACUCCAUCAGCAUGCCAGGCCAGUGCUGUGGCCACUCUCGUUUGAUCAUCUCUACCAUAUUUGGGCACAGAAUGUCUUUAAUGUGGUUCUCUUCUUCCCAAAUACUCAGUGUUCCAUGACACUGGGCUUCAGAGGGGACUUCCAUCAAAACCUGGCAAUAUGCUCCAACAUCCAAAGGGCAAAGUGACCAUGGCAGCUCCUGUUUUCUCAGCCAACCUCAAGCUGUACAAGACACGGAUACUCUUUAAACUCUUCACAAAACUUGAAUGCUUCCUGUUGUUGGUGCUGGAUGGAGCUGGGUUCCGUCAUGACUGCCCCUGAUUCCCCAGCUUCACACUCAGUGUGUUCAUUUGCACCCAUUCCAUACUGGUGCCAGGAACACCACUCUCAUCUCAGAGCGCAAGGCAUGCACGGAUCCCUUAGCAGAACCACACAUGGAUCCUGCACCACAUCAGAGCUCUCUGAAUGCCUCUCCCCACCCAGAGCUUUCCCUGAUGAUUGAAAAGAGCUAAUCCAACAAAUGGCAUUAUCUCCUCUGAAUGGACCCCGUUUAUCACCUGGACAAGCCCAGAAACUUCAACCCCAAGCUUCUCUUUGUUGUAGCAACAGGUGCUCCGGAAGGGAGUGAGGGUGGGCGGGGAAGGAUGUGCUUAGCACCGGAAUGGGGCAAGAAGAAGAAGGAGGAGGCUGUGGAAUGCUCUUUAGGGGAGACCUUUAGAAGAGGAGUCAGCUUUACUUUGCCAGAGGGGCAGGAGCAGAGUCCCUGCAGCCCUUGGAGUGACAGCUGUCAGUCACAAUGAUCUUGCAGUGUCUGGAAAGUGUUCCAUGGCUCAACUGAGUGUUCUAGAAAAUUAAUUUUUCCUAAAAUAAACCAAGGGAAAAAAUUGAG
rnacentral:lncRNA from 1 species